rnacentral:rRNA from 1 species
ACGGGCUUCGGUCUGGUGGCGAGUGGCGAACGGGUGAGUAAAGUAUCGGAACGUACCUUUCAGUGGGGGAUAACGUAGCGAAAGUUACGCUAAUACCGCAUAUUCUGUGAGCAGGAAAGCAGGGGAUCGCAAGACCUUGCGCUGAUUGAGCGGCCGAUAUCAGAUUAGCUAGUUGGUGGGGUAAAGGCCUACCAAGGCGACGAUCUGUAGCGGGUCUGAGAGGAUGAUCCGCCACACUGGAACUGAGACACGGUCCAGACUCCUACGGGAGGCAGCAGUGGGGAAUUUUGGACAAUGGGGGCAACCCUGAUCCAGCCAUGCCGCGUGAGUGAAGAAGGCCUUCGGGUUGUAAAGCUCUUUCGGCCGGGAAGAAAUCGCAUGGGCUAAUACCCUGUGUGGAUGACGGUACCGGAAUAAGAAGCACCGGCUAACUACGUGCCAGCAGCCGCGGUAAUACGUAGGGUGCGAGCGUUAAUCGGAAUUACUGGGCGUAAAGCGUGCGCAGGCGGUUUAGUAAGACAGGCGUGAAAUCCCCCGGGGCUCAACCUGGGAACUGCGCUUGUGACUGCUAAGCUAGAGUAC